GCACCUGCCGGCGGGGAGGGAGAGCCGUGGGCCCCGGCCCCUGACCACUCCCGGCUUGGCCCCCACUCCUUCCCCCUACUCCCAGGUCCAGCUACCACCCCAGCCCCAUGGGCAGAGGGCAGGGAUGCCAGGCAGGGGUGCAGUGGCGCUCCCUCUCUGCCCCUGACCACUCCCAGCCCGGCCCCCACUCUUCCCCCUACCCCCAGGUCCAGCUACCAUCCCAUCCCCAUGGGCAGAGGGCAGGGAUGCCAGGCAGGGGUGCAGUGGCGCUCCCUCUCUGCCCCUGACCACUCCCAGCCCGGCCCCCACUCCUUCCCCCUACCUCCAGGUCCAGCUACCAUCCCAUCCCCAUGGGCAGAGGGCAGGGAUGCCAGGCAGGGGUGCAGCGGCGCUCCCUCUCUGGCCCUGACCACUCCCGGCCUGGCCCCCACUCUUCCCCCUACCCCCAGGUCCAGCUACCACCCCAGCCCCAUGGGCAGAGGGCAGGGAUGCCAGGCAGGGGUGCAGUGGCGCUCCCUCUCUGCCCCUGACCACUCCCAGCCCGGCCCCCACUCCUUCCCCCUACCUCCAGGUCCAGCUACCAUCCCAUCCCCAUGGGCAGAGGGCAGGGAUGCCAGGCAGGGGUGCAGCGGCGCUCCCUCUCUGCCCCUGACCACUCCCGGCCUGGCCCCCACUCUUCCCC